rnacentral:lncRNA from 1 species
CACUCCAUUUUACCCUCAUGCUUUGCAUCAUCACUUCACUUUCACCUUUGAAUCAUUUCAAACACCACUCAUUGCACUCAAUUGCUACACCAUUCCUUGUUCCCUCCAUCAUUUCAGAUUCAUGCAUCAUUACAUUGAAUCAUUGCACUCAAUUGCUACACCAUUCCUUGUUCCCUCCAUUAUUUCAGAUUUCAUGCAUCAUUACAUUGAAUCAUGGCACUCAAUUGCUACACCAUUCCUUGUUCCCUCCAUCAUUUCAGAUUUCAUGCAUCAUUGCACUCAAUUGCUACACCACUCCAUGUUCCUCUCCAUUGCCAUGCACUUCCUCUAUAAAAGGAAAUGUGUGUAACAUAAAUUGAUUCAUACUUUGUUAGAUCAUUCACUCCCAUUUCAACACAACCUUCAUCCAAACACAUCCAUUCAUCUUCACAUCUAUUCCUCCAUACAAACAAACCUUCAAACACUCACCAACACCUUGUGCCGUAGCAAAGGAAGGGAAGGAAAGUGCUUGGACGUGCUUGCUGUUCAACUUGGAUCGUUGGAGCGUUUAGGUGUUUUCUUUAUUUUGUUUCUAAUGUUUAAAUUCAUUUCCUUUCAUUUUGUUGUAAAUAUGAGUGGCUAAACCCCUCUUGGCUAGGAGUGAUUUCAAAGCCAUGAUUAUGUGUGCAAUAUAAUUUGAUAAAUUCCAGUUAUGAACUCUUGAAUCGUGAAUGCAAUUGGCUUAAUUAUUUGAUUGAUAACUUAUUUGUAUUUGUUAAUUAAGGGUCGACACUUAAUUGGCAUGCAUAAAUCCGUUGCUAGAAUAUAAGGAAGUUUCACAUAAUUGUUACAAACUUAUAUUCACAUGUAGUGAAGGUUGCUUAUAAACGAUCGCGUUAAGUUCAAUUCCUUGCAUGAGUGACAUGAUGUCAUAGUUGCAAGUGCUUUGUCAAUGCUUAUGAUUUU